UAUCCUUUUUCUUUUUGAAAUAUCAUCGUUAUCUCAUUAUCUUUCAUACAAUUUUCUAAUUGUUUUUAAAAUCUUCGGUACCCUUAGGCUUUAGUCUUUAUGUUUCUUAACUUGUAAAAAUCUAUAGAUGAAUCUCUCUCACGUGGGAAGAUCAUCCAUGAUUUUUUUUUCUUUUGGCAAGGAAAGAUUUUCCUUAACUUAUUUAUUUUAUUUUUAUUUAUUUUAUUUAUUUAUUUAUUUAUUUUAUUUUAUUUUUUUUAUUUUUUUUAAAGAGAGAGAUGACGAUCUGCGGAACUUACCAUGUUACUUUUCUUUUCCAAUUUAUUCCUUCUUUUUCCGUCUCCGAUUCGCAGAGAAUUUCUUCGGCUGCCAUGUCGUUUUAUUGGAAGCGAUCUAGAGGUGGUUUCGAUAUCGAUUAAUCGAGAUGAUUUAGAGAAGCAGAAGUUCAGAACAAAUAGAAAAGAUUAAAAUCACAGAUUGUUCCUGAGAGGACUUGUGUAGCGUGGAGUUCCGAUCAUGGCGGUGGUUGAGGAUGCCGGGAUAGAUUUGGGGAUCAAUAUCUACCAUGGGUAUCAGUUGGUCAUGGAGAGUGAAAAUAUCAGUAGCUGCUCAGCCCAUCAAUGGAGAUGGGCACUCUUUCUUUUAAAUGGGAAUUCCCAAAGGCUGGAUAGAUUUAGUUCAACUUUGAUGGAUCCUCUUUGAGCAACCCAGGAUAUUUUGGUAUUGCUUAUGUACAUACCACACUUCAACCAGUAUGAGGUACUUCUCUUGAUGAAACCCAAUUUCAAAUUUCAGACUGAGAUUUAACAUAGAUAGCAUCUCAUAUGUAGUAGGCAUAUCAUCCCAUGUAUGUCCAUGCACCCUAUGAUAGUCCCUUGGUAAUUCCUGAUUUUUUGAAUACCUUGAUUUGCCAAUGACCUAUCUCAGACUGCUCUGUUACUUGACAUGGAAUAGAGAACGUUGGGUCCACCUCUACACAGAAUUUCAGCCCCUCUUGACUGCCACAUGGUAGUUAUUGGAGGGCAUGUAAUCUCCUUCCAGGUGAGGUCUCACCCGUUUAACAAUAUUACAAGUGACCAUAUUUUUAAUUACUGAACAAACAGUACUGGAUGGUUAUGUGAUCUUGACCUUGGGUGGACAGAUUUAACUUAUCCGGGGGCAUUAAAAAUCCUUAUUACAUUUUGAAUUUGUUUUCAUUAACAAAAGUUUUCUUGCCAAGGUUAUUGAGAUAAAACCAUGCUGCACAGCUUUGUGUAGUGGCAGAAGACUCCAACCAGCCAGAUUAUGUUAAACUGGUCAGAGCACUUUGUGCAGACCACAAAGUCAGCUUGAUAUCGGUACCGAGUGCUAAGACUCUUGGCGAAUGGGCAGGGAUGAUCAAGCGAACAGGGAAAGGGAAGCUCCAUCCUACCUCCAUUCAACCAAAGAACCACAGGCUUUGAAGCUGCAGACAAGUACCAUGGUGUUACAAAGUUUGAUCCACCUACUGGAAAGCAAUUCAAAGCUCCUGUUCCAAGUCAAUCUUACACCACAUAUUUUGCAGAGGCUUUGAUUGCUGAAGCAGAGGUUGACAAAGACGUUGUUGCCAUAGAUGAUCGACCCAGUUGCUUCUGAUACCCAAGAGGAAAUAGAACUGGCAUUCAGUUGCCACCGGGGAACAAGGGUACCUCUCUGGAGGUUGGCAAAGGCCGGAUUUUGUUGGAGGGUGACACCGUCGCACUUUUGGGUUAUGGAACAGCAGUUUAAAGUGGUGUUGUGAAAUCGUGCUUCCAAAGGUUAAGGUGCCAUGGCCUGAUUUGUUAGUAAGAAAGUAGAUCAUUUUUCCAUUUUCGAACAAGUGCUUCUGCACAUUCAUUUAUAUAUUAGGCUACUUAAGUUUGAUAAGGCUUAAAUGAGUUGACCAUUUUAGUUUUUAUUUUUAUUUAUUUAUUUAUUUAUUUAUUUUUUUUUUUUUGGUGAAGAUUUUAGUUUUAAUUGGGAUUCGUGAAAUGUAAAGGUGACAAUCACAUUUUUUUUUUUUAAAUUAUAGAAAAGCUAUGAAUAGUCUUUCUUUAGUAUG